GACGAACGCUGGCGGCGUGCUUAACACAUGCAAGUCGAACGAAGUGGCGAACGGGUGAGUAACGCGUAAUCAACCUGCCCUUCAGAGGGGGACAACAGUUGGGAACGCCUGCUAAUACCGCAUACUGAAGGAGGGGAUUGCGUCUGAUUAGCUAGUUGGAGGGGUAACGGCCCCCCAAGGCGAUGGGCAGUAGCCGGUCUGAGAGGAUGAACGGCCAAAUUGGGACUGGGACACGGCCCAGACUCCGAAGGGAGGCAGCAGUGGGGAAUCGUCCGCAAUGGACGAAAGGCUGACGGAGCAACGCCGCGGGAGGGAUGACGGCCGUCGGGUUGUAAAGCUCUGUUAAUCGGGACGCGGUACCGGAAUAGAAAGCCACGGCUAACUACGUGCCAGCCGCCGCGGUAAUUC
rnacentral:rRNA from 1 species